rnacentral:rRNA from 1 species
AUUGAACGCUGGCGGCAUGCUUUACACAUGCAAGUCGAACGGCAGCGCGGGGUUCUGCCUGGCGGCUAGUGGCGAACGGGUGAGUAAUGCACGUGAACGUGCCGAGUAGUGGGGUAUAGUCCCUCGAAAGCCGGAUGAAUACCGCAUACUACCUGCGGGUGAAAGCGGGGGAGCGAAAGGCCUCGCGGGAUGGGAGCGGCCGAUGUCGGGUUAGUUAGUUUGUGGGGUAAAGGGUUUCCUAGUCGGGCAUCCGUAGCUGGUCUGAGUGGCCGGUCACCCACCCUGGGGCUUGGCCACCGCCCCGGCUCCUACGGGAGGCCCCAGUGGGGUAUUUUGGGCAAUGGUGGCAACCCUGGUCCAGCCAUGCCGCGUGCGGUAAGACGGCCUUCGGGUUGUAAACCGCUUUUGUUCGGGAAGAACUCCUCUGGGCUAAUACCACGGGGGGAUGACGGUACCGGAAGAAUAAGCACCGGCUAACUACGUG